GCUGAAGCAGCCGGUCCGGGCACUCCGGGGCUGCCUGAGGGGAAAAAGGGAAUCCUGGGGUUCCUCUGCCUCAGGCAGCUUCAUCUCGGCUCAGCUCAGGCCAGGGAGCCGCGCUAGCCCCGAACGCAGCAGGUGUCGCAGUGAAAAGCCCCAGGUGCUCGGGGCGGCGGUGCCGAUGGAGCUGAGGCGGGAAGAUGGAGGCCUGUGGGUCCCCUCACGGGCAGCGCGCGUGGGGUCGAUGGCUGAGAAGGACGUUCCCCACACUGUGUGUGCCAGCCUGCUCAGGAUGAGACUUGAAUUCCCUCCCAUUGAUCAUGGCCAAAGAAGAAAGCUCAAAUGGAGAUUUUAUUCCAGAAACAAUGGCCCCCUUAUGUGCUGUGUCGUGAUCUCUCUGAAUGAACCUGCUGGUGAAAUGAAGGCUUUUCCCUGGGCAGGUCCUUCUCAUCAGUGGAUCUUGGAGGGUUUUGCCAAGCUGGAUACCAAUUGUUACACCUAUUGCAAAGAUGGAGAAACUGAAGCAGGGGAAGAGAGCCUGCUCUCCCAGAACACAUCAGCAGCAAGGCUGGGACUGAACACCCCUGCAUUUUGCACCACCUUCCUCGGAAAUGAGAGGGAAGGAUCUUUAGCCCAAGGUGUAUUUUUUGCAGGUAGCUCUUCCUUGCUUCCUUCUCAAUAACUGGCACACUGGAGAAGAGAUAUCAUGUUUUCCUGUUCUUCAUGGUGAAGCUAAUUGCCAAGCUCCCUCUAGGUUUCAGUAAGUCAGAGGAAGGAAGAGUUGGUGUUACAGGUUGACACCAGGG
rnacentral:lncRNA from 1 species